CAGCAGCCGCGGGAAUACGUAGGUGGCAAGCGUUGUCCGGAAUUAUUGGGCGUAAAGGGUGCGUAGGCGGUUUGACAAGUCUUGUGUGAAGUCUCUGGGCUCAACCCAGAGUCUGCACGGGAAACUGUCGGGCUAGAGGAUGGGAGAGGUGAGUGGAAUUUCCGGUGUAGCGGUGAAAUGCGUAGAUAUCGGAAGGAACACCUGUGGCGAAAGCGGCUCACUGGACCAUUUCUAACGCUGAUGCACGAAAGCUAGGGGAGCAAACAGGAUUAGAUACCCGCGUAGUCCCUGUCUCUUAUAC
rnacentral:rRNA from 1 species